rnacentral:rRNA from 1 species
GUUGAACGCUGGCGGCGUGCCUAACACAUGCAAGUCGAGCGGUAACAGGUGUAGCAAUACAUGCUGACGAGCGGCGAACGGGUGAGUAAUGCUUCGGAAUCUACCUUAUGGUGGGGAAUAACUAGCCGAAAGGUUAGCUAAUACCGAAUACGUCCUACGGGAGAAAGCAGGGGAUCGCAAGACCUUGCGCCAAAAGAUGAGCCGAAGUCGGAUUAGCUAGUUGGUAGGGUAACGGCCUACCAAGGCGACGAUCCGUAGCUGGUCUGAGAGGACGACCAGCCACACUGGGACUGAGACACGGCACAGACUCCUACGGGAGGCAGCAGUGGGGAAGAUUGGACAAUGGGGGAAACCCUGAUCCAGCGACGCCGCGUGAGUGACGAAGGUUUUCGGAUCGUAAAACUCUGUUGUGAGGGAAGAACAAGUACCAACUAACUACUGGUACCUUGACGGUACCUCACCAGAAAGCCACGGCUAACUACGUGCCAGCCGCCGCGGUAA